rnacentral:rRNA from 1 species
GAUGAACGCUGGCGGCGUGCUUAACACAUGCAAGUCGAACGAAGCACUCAGAUCUCUUCGGAGUGAUGAGUGACUGAGUGGCGGACGGGUGAGUAACGCGUGGGUAACCUGCCUUGUACAGGGGGACAACAGUUGGAAACGACUGCUAAUACCGCAUAAGCGCACAGCUUCGCAUGAAGCAGUGUGAAAAGCUGAGGCGGUACAAGAUGGACCCGCGUUGGAUUAGCUAGUUGGUGGGGUAACGGCCUACCAAGGCGACGAUCCAUAGCCGACCUGGGAGGGUGAUCGGCCACAUUGGGACUGAGACACGGCCCAAACUCCUACGGGAGGCAGCAGUGGGGAAUAUUGCACAAUGGGCGAAAGCCUGAUGCAGCGACGCCGCGUGAGCGAUGAAGUAUUUCGGUAUGUAAAGCUCUAUCAGCAGGGAAGAAAAUGACGGUACCUGACUAAGAAGCUCCGGCUAAAUACGUGCCAGCCGCCGCCGUAAGAC